AAGAGACCCAGGAGCAGCUCGAACAGGAUGCGCAAGCAGAAGAGCACGAUGCAUUGGUUUGCAUGGGCAUUUCACACAGGGCAGACCACAAGAACACAUCAAGGAUCAUGCUCCUCAUUCAACAGUAUGAGCAGUUUGGUCACAGAACAAGCCCCGUGUGAGUCCAAGUUCUCCCCCUCUAAUGAACCUGCAAACCUGCAACUCAGACUGCAAUAGAUCAAGAAAGGUGAAUACUUUUGCAGGUGGAACAUGAAAAUAUUUGUACAGAUUGGUGAUGAAAGAACCCAAAGUGUCUCAAAAUAUAUAUAUAGGAGAGAUGCUCUCAGAAACUGAG
rnacentral:lncRNA from 1 species